GAUGAACGCUGGCGGCGUGCCUAAUACAUGCAAGUCGAGCGAACAGACGAGGAGCUUGCUCCUCUGACGUUAGCGGCGGACGGGUGAGUAACACGUGGAUAACCUACCUAUAAGACUGGGAUAACUUCGGGAAACCGGAGCUAAUACCGGAUAAUAUAUUGAACCGCAUGGUUCAAUAGUGAAAGACGGUUUUGCUGUCACUUAUAGAUGGAUCCGCGCCGCAUUAGCUAGUUGGUAAGGUAACGGCUUACCAAGGCAACGAUGCGUAGCCGACCUGAGAGGGUGAUCGGCCACAAUGGAACUGAGACACGGUCCAGACUCCUACGGGAGGCAGCAGUAGGGAAUCUUCCGCAAUGGGCGAAAGCCUGACGGAGCAACGCAGCGUGAGUGAUGAAGGUCUUCGGAUCGUAAAACUCUGUUAUUAGGGAAGAACAAAUGUGUAAGUAACUAUGCACGUCUUGACGGUACCUAAUCAGAAAGCCACGGCUAACUACGUG
rnacentral:rRNA from 1 species